UGGAGCAUGUGGUUUAAUUCGAUGAUACGCGAGGAACCUUACCUGGGCUCAAAUGUAUGUUGUACGUAUUCUGAAAGGGAUACUUCUUCGGACAAUAUACAAGGUGCUGCAUGGUUGUCGUCAGCUCGUGCCGUGAGGUGUCGGGUUAAGUCCCAUAACGAGCGCAACCCUACCUUUAGUUGCCAUCAGGUAAUGCUGGGACUCUAAAGGAACUGCCUACGCAAGUAGUGAGGAAGGCGGGGAUGACGUCAAAUCAGCACGGCCCUUACGUCCAGGGCUACACACGUGCUACAAUGGCCGAUACAGAGGGCAGCUACCUGGUGACAGGAUGCAAAUCUCCAAAGUCGGUCUCAGUUCGGAUCGGAGUCUGCAACCCGACUCCGUGAAGUUGGAUUCGCUAGUAAUCGCGCAUCAGCCAUGGCGCGGUGAAUACGUUCCCGGGCCUU
rnacentral:rRNA from 1 species